GGGCGAUUAGCUCAGUGGUAGAGCGCUUCGUUCACAUCGAAGAUGUCAGAAGUUCGAAUCUUCUAUCGCCCACCA
rnacentral:tRNA from 6 species